rnacentral:lncRNA from 1 species
GCGGCCGCCUGGCUGCUCCUCGGGGCGGCGACCGGGCUCACGCGCGGGCCCGCCGCGGCCUUCACCGCCGCGCGCUCUGACGCCGGCAUAAGGGCCAUGUGUUCUGAAAUUAUUUUGAGGCAAGAAGUUUUGAAAGAUGGUUUCCACAGAGACCUUUUAAUCAAAGUGAAGUUUGGGGAAAGCAUUGAGGACUUGCACACCUGCCGUCUCUUAAUUAAACAGGACAUUCCUGCAGGACUUUAUGUGGAUCCGUAUGAGUUGGCUUCAUUACGAGAGAGAAACAUAACAGAGGAGAAGACUUCAUGGCGGCGGCUAUGGUUGCCUUCUGAUAAUUGAAGGAUCCCUAGUGGAAUAAGGAACGAAUUUAUUGCAGACAUUGUAAGCAAGAACAACUGGUAAAUGUUAUAGGCAGUGAUGGUUUCAGAAAAUUUUGAUAUAGAGGCCCCUAACUAUUUGUCCAAGGAGUCUGAAGUUCUCAUUUAUGCCAGACGAGAUUCACAGUGCAUUGACUGUUUUCAAGCCU